CGCCAGCUCAACUUCAAGAGAGUUGAUCUUGGAAGUCUGAGUCCAAGAUCGAUCACUGGUGCAUUUUCAGAGUUUCUCAAGCUCCGCCAUGAAGUCGGCCUUCCUCCGGGUGUAUUCCAUGAAACCCUUUUUGUGGAGGUCCCGAAAGCGAGUAGCCUCUGCAGUGACUUCCGAAUGGCUCUUCUUCAGUCGUUGAAGUUCGUCAUCCAGCUUCUUGAAUUUCUCUGUCAAGUGAUGAACUUCCCUUCUGAGGUCCCGGAUCAUCGACUUUAAAGGAAUCUCCUGUGGUAGGGAAAGAGCUUCGGCAGGGCACUGUCGUUGGGAGACAAGAGCGUCACGACUCAAAUUAGUGCAAGAAGACAAAAGAGAAGGAAAAGAAUGUAGAAGAAGAAAAAAGAGCUCUCUGUAAAAAAGAAUCUAAUUUCAUUGAUUAAAUAGUUUUUAAGUACAAAAGAACAAAGAAAAGUUGCCACAAAGAAAAAAUACAAAAUCAGAGGUUUCGGAUCUCUGGGACAGAAGUGGAGGAGCUCGGUGCCCUCGGAAGGUCGGUCAUGGCAACCGUGGCAAUCGAGGACGUCCCAGUUGGAGGAGGAUCGACAGUGGCUUC
rnacentral:lncRNA from 1 species